rnacentral:rRNA from 1 species
UGACGGUACCUGACUAAGAAGCACCGGCUAACUCCGUGCCAGCAGCCGCGGUAAUACGGAGGGUGCGAGCGUUAAUCGGAAUUACUGGGCGUAAAGCGCACGUAGGCUGUAUUGUAAGUCAGGGGUGAAAUCCCACGGCUCAACCGUGGAACUGCCCUUGAUACUGCAAGACUAGAAUUCGGGAGAGGGUGGCGGAAUUCCAGGUGUAGGAGUGAAAUCCGUAGAUAUCUGGAGGAACAUCAGUGGCGAAGGCGGCCACCUGGAUCGAUAUUGACGCUGAGGUGCGAAAGCGUGGGGAGCAAACAGGAUUAGAUACCCUG